rnacentral:rRNA from 1 species
GAUGAACGCUGGCGGCGUGCCUAACACAUGCAAGUCGAACGAACGGACCAGGAGCUUGCUCCUCUGAUGUUAGCGGCGGACGGGACCUGAACACGGGUACAACCUACCUAUAAGACUGGGAUACUUUCGGCAAACCGGGUCUUAUACCGGAUAAUAUUUUGAACCGCGUUGGUCAAAGGUGGAAGUCGGUCUUGGUGUCAGUAAUAGCCUACUCCGCGCUGCAUUCGCUGGUGGUUAAGGUGACGGCUUACCAAGGCUACGAUGCAUAGACGGCCCGAACGGGUGGUCGCACACACGGGCAGUGAGACACGGCCCAGACGCCUGCGCGAGGCCACAGUCGGGAAUCCUACGCAAUGGACGAAAGCCUGACGGAGCAACGUCGCGUGAGUCAUGAAGGUCUUCGGAUCGUAAAACUCUGUUAUUAGUGGAGAACAAAUGUGUAAGUACCUGUGCUGAUAUUGACGGUACCUAGUCAAAAAGCCCCGGCUAACUACGUG